CCUACGGGUGGCAGCAGUGAGGAAUAUUGGUCAAUGGUCGGGAGACUGAACCAGCCAAGCCGCGUGAGGGAUGAAGGUACAGAGUAUCGUAAACCUCUUUUGUCAGGGAACAAAGGCGGGGACGUGUCCCCGGAUGAGUGUACCUGAAGAAAAAGCAUCGGCUAACUCCGUGCCAGCAGCCGCGGUAAUACGGAGGAUGCGAGCGUUAUCCGGCUUUAUUGGGUUUAAAGGGUGCGCAGGCGGUCUGUUAAGUCAGCGGUAAAAGCCCGGGGCGAAACCCCGGCCCGCCGUUGAAACUGGCAGUCUCGAGUUGGAGAGAAGUAUGCGGAAUGCGCGGUGUAGCGGUGAAAUGCAUAGAUAUCGCGCAGAACUCCGAUUGCGAAGGCAGCAUGCCGGCUCCACACUGACGCUGAGGCACGAAAGCGUGGGUAUCGAACAGGAUUAGAUACCCUUGUAGUC
rnacentral:rRNA from 1 species